AACGAACGCUGGCGGCAGGCCUAACACAUGCAAGUCGAGCGGACCCUUCGGGGUUAGCGGCGGACGGGUGAGUAACGCGUGGGAAUAUGCCCUUCUCUACGGAAUAGUCCUGGGAAACUGGGGGUAAUACCGUAUACGCCCUUUGGGGGAAAGAUUUAUCGGGGAAGGAUUAGCCCGCGUUGGAUUAGGUAGUUGGUGGGGUAAUGGCCUACCAAGCCGACGUUCCAUAGCUGGUUUGAGAGGAUGAUCAGCCACACUGGGACUGAGACACGGCCCAGACUCCUACGGGAGGCAGCAGUGGGGAAUCUUAGACAAUGGGGGCAACCCUGAUCUAGCCAUGCCGCGUGAGUGAUGAAGGCCUUAGGGUUGUAAAGCUCUUUCAGCUGGGAAGAUAAUGACGGUACCAGCAGAAGAAGCCCCGGCUAACUCCGUG
rnacentral:rRNA from 1 species